ACGGAGGGUGCAAGCGUUGUUCGGAAUUACUGGGCGUAAAGGGCGCGUAGGCGGUUUGAUAAGUCAGAUGUGAAAGCCCACGGCUUAACUGUGGAAGGGCAUUUGAAACUGUCAGACUUGAGUACCAGAGGGGAAAGUGGAAUUCCCGGUGUAGAAAUGAAAUCCGGAAAUCUCGGGAGGAAUACCGGUGGCGAAGGCGACUCACUGGCUGGAUUCCGACACUGAGGAGCGAAAGCGUGGGGAGCAAACAG
rnacentral:rRNA from 1 species